CCUACGGGUGGCAGCAGUGAGGAAUAUUGGUCAAUGGGCUUACGCCUGAACCAGCCAAGUCGCGUGAGGGAAGACUGCCCUAUGGGUUGUAAACCUCUUUUGUCAGGGAGCAACGCCCGCUCCGUGUAGCCGGUCUGAGAGUACCUGAAGAAAAAGCAUCGGCGAACCCCGUGCCAGCAGCCGCGGUAAUACGGAAGAUGCGAGCGUUAUCCGGAUUUAGUGGGUUUAAAGGGUGCGUAGGCGGAAUGCCAAGUCAGCGGUAAAAUAGCGGGGCUCAACCUCCCUCCGCCGUUGAAACUGGCGUUCUUGAGUGGGCGAGAGGUAUGCGGAAUGCGUGGUGUAGCGGUGAAAUGCAUAGAUAUCACGCAGAACUCCGAUUGCGAAGGCAGCAUACCGGCGCCCAACUGACGCUGAGGCACGAAAGCGUGGGUAUCGAACAGGAUUAGAUACCCCAGUAGUC
rnacentral:rRNA from 1 species